rnacentral:rRNA from 1 species
UACGUAGGGGGCAAGCGUUAUCCAGAUUUACUGGGCGUAAAGCGUACGCAGGCGGCUGGGUAAGACAGGUGUGAAAUCCCCGGGCUUAACCUGGGAACUGCAUUUGUGACUGCCCGGCUAGAGUCCGUUAGAGGGGGGUGGAAUUCCACGUGUAGCAGUGAAAUGCGUAGAGAUGUGGAGGAACACCGAUGGCGAAGGCAGCCCCCUGGGACAGGACUGACGCUCAUGUACGAAAGCGUGGGGAGCAAACAGG